GAAAUGCGAUACGUAAUGUGAAUUGCAAAUUCAGUGAAUCAUCGAGUCUUUGAACGCACAUUGCGCCCCCUGGUAUUCCGGGGGGCAUGCCUGUCCGAGCGUCAUUUCUGCCCUCAAGCACGGCUUGUGUGUUGGGCCCCGUCCUCCGAUCCCGGGGGACUGGCCCGAAAGGCAGCGGCGGCACCGCGUCCGGUCCUCGAGCGUAUGGGGCUUUGUCACCCGCUCUGUAGGCCCGGCCGGCGCUUGCCGAUCAACCCAAAUUUUUAUCCAGGUUGACCUCGGAUCAGGUAGGGAUACCCGCUGAACUUAAGC
rnacentral:misc_RNA from 1 species